rnacentral:tRNA from 1 species
UGUAGUAGUUCAGUGGUGGAGUGCUUGCCUAGCAUGCAUGAGGCCCUGAGUUCAAUCCCCAGUACUAAAA